rnacentral:rRNA from 1 species
ACUCCUACGGGAGGCAGCAGUGGGGAAUAUUGCACAAUGGGGGAAACCCUGAUGCAGCCAUGCCGCGUGUGUGAAGAAGGCCUUCGGGUUGUAAAGCACUUUCAGUAGGGAGGAAGGUAGUGUAGUUAACACCUGCACUAUUUGACGUUACCUACAGAAGAAGACACCGGCUAACUCCGUGCCAGCAGCCGCGGUAAUACGGAGGGUGCGAGCGUUAAUCGGAAUUACUGGGCGUAAAGCGCAUGCAGGCGGCCUGUUAAGUCAGAUGUGAAAGCCCGGGGCUUAACCUCGGAAUUGCAUUUGAAACUGGCAGGCUAGAGUCUUGUAGAGGGGGGUAGAAUUUCAGGUGUAGCGGUGAAAUGCGUAGAGAUCUGAAGGAAUACCAGUGGCGAAGGCGGCCCCCUGGACAAAGACUGACGCUCAGAUGCGAAAGCGUGGGGAGCAAACAGGAUUAGAUACCCUGGUAGGAUAGCG